GACGGACUAAUGACAUAAAAUAAAACAAAAAAAUGUUACAAUACAAAAUCGUUAAUACAUUCAUCAAGCGUGAGGUCGAUGUCUUUGAGAGCUUCCACAGCAAGCGGAAGUACGCACACAAGUCCACGAAAUAAUGACUGCUCCCGAGGAAGUAUCUUUCUUGCCCAGACGGGAUGAAUUACAAUUUUGAGCGGAGCUUCCGGUUUCAUUAAUUCUUGUCCAAUGUUGGCCACAGACCACAAUUAAUUCCUCUAUCAGUUCUUUAUAACCUUUUGCAUCAUUAAAAAAAUUGCACCAUGCACUUUUGUCAAAUUUUUUGUGUGUGUAAUGUAUAGUCCUAGUCCAAAUAUAUAUCCAAAAUGCAGAAAGAUUGUAGCAAUCACUUUUACAAAUUUAGCCAAUACACAUCCAUACCCCUAUUGACAAGUCAAGAGAUGUUCCGAAAACUGUAAAUAUUACCUUUUUGCACUUGGCCUAAUCACUCAUUCCAAAUCAAAAUCAGUUAAAAUACAACAUCCAAAAAUUCAUUUCACCUCUCUUUAUUC
rnacentral:lncRNA from 1 species